AGAACGAACGCUGGCGGCAGGCCUAACACAUGCAAGUCGAACGCUCCAGCAAUGGAGAGUGGCAGACGGGUGAGUAACGCGUGGGAACCUUCCCAGUGGUACGGAAUAGCUCAGGGAAACUUGAGGUAAUACCGUAUACGCCCCUUGGGGGAAAGAUUUAUCGCCAUUGGAUGGGCCCGCGUAGGAUUAGCUAGUUGGUGAGGUAAUGGCUCACCAAGGCGACGAUCCUUAGCUGGUCUGAGAGGAUGAUCAGCCACACUGGGACUGAGACACGGCCCAGACUCCUACGGGAGGCAGCAGUGGGAAUAUUGGACAAUGGGCGCAAGCCUGAUCCAGCCAUGCCGCGUGAGUGACGAAGGCCUUAGGGUUGUAAAGCUCUUUGCGGGACGAUAAUGACGGUACCCGAAGAAUAAGCUCCGGCUAACUUCGUGCCAGCAGCCGC
rnacentral:rRNA from 1 species